UCAGGCCUAACACAUGCAAGUCGAACGGUAGAGGAGCAAUCCUCGAAAGUGGCGAACGGGUGAGUAAUACAUCGGAACGUGCCCAGUCGUGGGGGAUAACGUAGCGAAAGCUACGCUAAUACCGCAUACGACCCGAGGGUGAAAGCGGGGGACCGUAAGGCCUCGCGCGAUUGGAGCGGCCGAUGGCAGAUUAGGUAGUUGGUGGGGUGAAGGCCCACCAAGCCUGCGAUCGGUAGCUGGUCUGAGAGGACGACCAGGCACACUUGGACUGAGGCACGGCCCAGACUCCUGCGGGAGGCAGCAGUGGGGAAUUUU
rnacentral:rRNA from 1 species